UAGUGCUGAAGGCCUGCCAGCCACACCAAAGAGCUUCUCACAAGAAGGCACGAGCCAGGUUGAGGCAGCUUCACAAGGGGAGGAAUGACCUGUUUUGGACCAGAAGCCAUGACUCGAAUGAGGCUAACAAUACACAAAGCACAGGCACCGUAUAGAAGAGUCAUUUUCCUCCUCUCAGGUUUCAUCAUAGUAACUGUCAUUACAAGGCAGACAGAGAUCCAUGGAUGGAGGUGUACCUGCGUUUCCAGUCCUGGCUCUGCUAUGUAGGGUCUUGGAUGACCUAUGACAGGUCGGAUUUGGUCACAAAUCCAGAAACGACUUCAUGUCACUGAGGUAUUACUCUGCUGCUCUCUAUGUCCAAGCCCAUUUUUAUAUAGUUUUAUAGUCUUGUCUCUCAUACUACGCACCUACCAGCCAGACACACCUGGGCAGGCAAGGAGAGCGGGAGUACUGGUGUUUGCUGCAUAUCUACUGUGUGGUGAGCAUGGACACUUUAAGUUCAGUGGAUCUCCCCGAGUAGAAAUUAAAAGAGCUAGAUCAGUGUUGUCUAAUAGAAAAUUAAUGCAAGCCACACAGACAUCAGAGAACUGAGGUGCUGAGUUGCAGCAGCCCCCACAGAAUCUCAAAAAUACAUCCAAGACUACUCUUCACAGGACAAGUGCGCAAUACAGGCUUCCUAUAGAGGAAUGUGGCUCAAGCAAGAAGGGUCACUGCUCAUUCACAUAGAGCCCAAAGGAAUGGCACCUCUUUGGACAGUCCAAUUUCCCCAAAUAAACCAAGAUUUAGACUGCUGAAGGCAUUCGUAGGCUAUGGUGUUAAGGCUGCUUGAGACUAACACCACACUUUGAUCAUUCAGUCAAAUCAAAAAGCAUUUAUUAAGCAUCAGUUCAAGGCUCCCUGCAGGGGCUUCUCUUUGUGUCUCUGGCAUUCAUACUUCCGUGCUUCUCUUAUGUGGCUCUUCACCCUUACCCAAAAAAAACUCCCUAAUACACUAAUAAUACACUCCCUAAUAAUCUCACUGCUGAUAUUAUCCUUUUCUGCUUAUUUCCAAGACUUUGAAUAGAAAGUCAGGACAGAACUUAUUCCAUUGAAAAUCUAUGCACCCAUCCCUGCUUUCACAGGAUUCUGUGACAAGCACCCUAGCCAGUAGUCAAAGCUUACAGGGGUGAAAUUUCAGCAUCUGUUUUCUUCGUUCAGAAUGCAGACUAAAUAUUUUAGAAGGGUUUUUAGGGAAGCAAUUUACAGCCAGUAAUUGGAAGUGCAGUGUUUUUGCAAGACCAAUGUCUCAGAUUACAGGUCUAUGAUUUGCCUAAAAAUAACUCAUUUAUUUUAGGCUUGGAUUUUGAAAAGGGGAAAAAUUAAGUCUUAGGAUGAUUUUCUUCAAAUUUCCCAUUGCAUUCUUUACAUCAGAAAAGGAGAUGUGGGAAGGCAAGAUGGAGUUUCUAGAGAGGAGAAAUCCAACACUGUUUUUCCUUGGUUCAUUUAUGAGACUACAUUUUCCUAGCUAUGUACACUAUUUCCAGUUUAUGACUCACUCAAACAAUUUACUAUAUUUAAAAUUACAUUAAAUUCUCUUUACACUGCUUAGGUCAAAUAUUCAUACUAUGUAUACAGUUGGAAAUUCUUCCUCAUAGAUCCAGUGCAUGGUAUGGAUGUAUUUGUGUCCUUGUUGCCAUGGUAACUAGGAAAGGUUAAAGCCAGAACCUCAGAAAACAGAGUGGCUGAACAAUAAAAUAUCAUAAAUAUGUGUGUGCUUCUUAAAAUACUCUUCUCACAUAUGGAUUUAAAAAUUUUAGAACCACUGCCUUGAAGUUAAUUUUCCAUUUCUAGCAUACACAUUAUUAUCUAAAAAGAAUAUUCUCAAAACAAUCUCUUUCAAUCACUCCUUUUCUCUCUAAACUGUAAUAUAAUGUCCAUUUAUUUCAAAAGAUGGACUAAGUAAAACAUGAGCAAUGCUUUGGUUUUUCAAAUAUGGAUGAGACAUGCCAAUGAAAAUGGAGGUCAAUAAAGUUGUU